UACUUCAUGCAACGCUCCCAUCACUGUUGAAGAUAUCUCAUCCUCAGAGCUCUCUGCAAACUCUCCUACCCACGCACGGCAUCGCUCCUGCAAAUCAGCGAAGGACAAAGCAUGAAAGUAGAAAUCAUCAGGAACCAAAGUCUAGAAGCAAUGCCUAAAGAGGAAAUCAGAGAAGACUGACGAAAGACCCAAGUCUGAAUAUCUGGCAAUUCACCAAAAGACCCCAAGUCUUUCUUGGAUCCAUUGGGCUCAAUGAGGAAAGACUUCUUCUGGUUUAUUCUAUAAAAGGGCAAAGGAAUUCGAAAAAAGGGGUGGGAAAAUCAGAGGAGUUUUUCGAUCUGAAGAAAAAGAAAAAAUCAGUUUGGGUGUUCUUUCAAAUUGUGAGGAGUGAAAAUUUCUAUUUGUAUCUGAGAGAAAUUGAUAUAUUCUAAAUAAAGGUUUUUCUUUUCUUUUUGUCUGAAGAAGAAGAAAAAGAAGAGCGGAAGCCAUUUGGAUUUUUUUUGAGAGAUUUUAUAAUUGCGGAGUAGGGCUUUACAUUUUGAGAAGACUUGUUGUGUGUCAAAAUCGAACAUUGAAAAGGGGCUAAAGUUAUUGUUCAGAAUCAUUGCAGAAGUCUCCUUUGUGCUCUGUGACAUUUACCAAGCUUGGAGAAGGGAAGUACUAGGAAGAGCUGAAGAUUUUGUUGUUCGAUUGAGCUAAGAACAAGGAACUUACCAUGGACAAUUUCAAAUUAGAAGAUGAUGCUCCUAAUGAAGAAAAAAAUGUUCAGAGAUGGAAAAAAAAGCCAAGGAGGGUUCAAGUCAAGGAGAGCCUUGACCAUGGAGGAAUAUUUCAAGUUCAUCCACUUAAAAUCAUUAUUCAUGUGUAUGAAGACGUUGCUUCUGAUCCUAAGUCUUCAAAACUUAUCACUCUUAGGUUUUAAUACAUGGUGAAGUUGAAUAUUGUAUGUGUUGGAAUAGAAGGAUUGUGUAUUGAUAUAAAACUUAUCACUCUUAG